UACGGAGGGUGCAAGCGUUGUUCGGAAUUACUGGGCGUAAAGCGUGCGUAGUCGGUAUUGAGAGUCGCGGGUGAAAUCCCAGGGCUUAACCCUGGAACUGCCUGCGAGACCUCAGUACUAGAGUGUGAGAGGGGAUAGUGGAAUACCAAGUGUAGCGGUGAAAUGCGUAGAGAUUUGGUGGAACACCGGUGGCGAAGGCGGCUAUCUGGCUCACAACUGACGAUCAGGCACGAAAGCGUGGGGAGCAAACAGG
rnacentral:rRNA from 1 species